rnacentral:rRNA from 1 species
UACGUAGGCAGCGAGCGUUGUUCGGAAUUACUGGGCGUAAAGAGUGUGUAGGCGGUGCUCUAAGUUCGGUGUGAAAUCUCCUGCUUAACUGGGAGGGUGCGCCGAAAACUGGAGUGCUCGAGCGUGGGAGAGGAAAGCGGAAUUCCUGGUGUAGCGGUGAAAUGACGUAGAUAUCAGGAGGAACACCUGCGGUGUAGACGGCUUUCUGGACCAUUGCUGACGCUGAGACACGAAAGCGUGGGGAGCAAACAGG